rnacentral:tRNA from 1 species
CGGAGUGUGGUUCAUUGGUUGAUCGCUAGUUUUGGGAACUAGAUGAAGGGGGUUCGAUUCCUCCCAUUCCGACCA